UACGUAGGUGGCAAGCGUUGUCCGGAAUUAUUGGGCGUAAAGCGCGUGUAGGCGGCCAGAAAAGUCCGCUGUGAAAACUCGAGGCUCAACUUCGAGCUGUCGGUGGAAACUUUCUGGCUAGAGUCCGGAAGAGGAGAAUGGAAUUCCUGGUGUAGCGGUGAAAUGCGCAGAUAUCAGGAAGAACACCCGUGGCGAAGGCGGUUCUCUGGGACGGUACUGACGCUGAGACGCGAAAGCGUGGGGAGCGAACAGG
rnacentral:rRNA from 1 species